rnacentral:sRNA from 1 species
GUAAGGGCGUAUGGUGGAUGCCUUGACACGAAAUGGCGAUGAAGGACGUGGCGUGGCUGCGAUAAGCUUCGGGGAGGUGCUUAGCGACCUUUGAUCCGAAGAUUUCCGAAUGGGGAAACCCCGUGUCGUAAACCGACAUGAUUCUACAGCAAUGUAGAAGGUACACCUGCUGAAGUGAAACAUCUCAGUAAGCAGAGGAAAAGAGAACAAACGUUUAUUCCCUGAGUAGCGGCGAGCCAAACGGGAAGAGCCCAAACCUAUUUAUCGAAAGAUUGAUGGGGGUUGUAAGGCGAGGAAAAUUUAGCGAUAUGCGACAUGUGAACUGCGACAAGUAUUUUCUUGUUGUUUGUCUUAUGUCGCUUGUCGCUAUGAUUGGUUACAAAUUGCUCAGCUAGUGGAACUCGUUGGAAUGCGAGGCCAGAGAAGGUGACAGCCCUGUACGCGAAAGCUGUAGCGACCAAUUUCUUCGUUCUUGAGUACUUCGAGGCAAAACAACCUUGAAGGAAUCUGCCGGUACUAUCCGGUAAGGCUAAAUACAUUUCGUGAUCGAUAGUGAACUAGUACCGUGAGGGAAAGGUGAAAAGUACCCCGGAAGGGGGAUGAAAUAGAAUCUGAAACCAUACGCUUACAAAGACGCGAAGCUCGGGUCCCGCAGCAAUGCGGGAUCGGGUAACGCGGUGCCUAUUGAAGAAUGAACCAACGAGUUUAUAUAUGUUGCAAUGUUUAAUCCCGCUUAGCGGGAGAAGGCGUAGCGAAAGCGAGUCUUAAAAGGGCGAUUCCUACUUUGACUUACGAUUUACGCGCAAUUUAUUUGCCGUACGUCGUAAGUCAUAGGUAGUAAGCAGCAUGUGUAAGACCCGAAGCCAGUGCGAGCUUGCCCUGGACAGGAUGAACCCCACGUAACAGUGGGGGGAGGUCCGAACCGGUGGGUUGUGCAACACCCUCGGAUGAUCUGGGGUAAGAAGUGAAAAGCUAAUCGAGCCUGGUAAUAGCUGGUUCUCUCCGAAAUAGCUUUAGGGCUAGCGCUAUUUAAAAACGAUAUGGGGGUAGAGCACUGGAUGAGCAGUAAUGGGCGCAAGCUCGACUGUUCGAUCAAACUCCGAAUACCAUAACGGAUGAAUAGUAGUUAGAACGUGGGGGCUAAGCUCCAUGUUCGCGAGGGGAACAGCCCAGACCGCUAUCUAAGGUCCCUAAGUGCGUGCUCAGUGUUAAAGGUAGUCAUCAACCAGUGACAGAUAGGAGGUUGGCUUAGAGGUAGCCACCCUUUAAAGAGUGUGUAACAACUCACUAUUCGACGGUUGGUGGCGCCGAAAAUGUAUCGGGGCUUAAGCACGCCACCGAAGGUGCGGGUUCGUGAAUUCCACUGAGGAGAUUUAUGUCUCUUUGGUGGAAUUCAUGAGCGGUAGGAGAGCGCUCCUAGUGUGUUGAAGGUUGACCCGCGAGGGCAACUGGAACGCUGGGAGGUGAGAAUGUUGGUAUGAGUAACCACACUGUCCGUGAGAAACGGGCACCCCGAAAAUCCAAGGUUUCCGUGGCAAUGGCAAUCAUCCACGGGUUAGGCGAUCCUAAGCGGAUGGCGAAAGCUGAACGCGAUGGGAAGCAGGUUAAUAUUCCUGCCCGCCGGACAUAUUCGAUGGAGGGACGGAGGACAAAAGGUUUAUCGUCUUAAUGGUUUGGCGUCCUUUGUGUUAAGACUUGGCAGUGAGGAAAAUCCCGCUGUCUGCCUUUAAUGGCAAAUUUCGCGCAUUGAGGAAAGAUUAGGUUCUUACCUAAUCAAUUAAACUGAAGAGCCUUCCGAGAAAAGCUUCUAAGGUUAGUAUGUUCGGCAUCGUACCGUAAACCGACACUGGUGGAUAGGGCGAGAAGCCCAAGGGGAACGAGUGAUUCUUCGCUAAGGAACUCGGCAAAAAAGCGGCCGUACGUUAGCAAUAAGGCCUGCCUUAUCGGGACUGGAAGAAGGAAAAAUGAGCUGGCUUAGCUCAAUGGUAGCGCAUUGGGAUAUAACCCCCAUGUGUGGAGGUUCAAGUCCUCCAGUCAGCUCCAUUUACUUCAUUUUGUAGUUUUUAUGUAGGGGCGUAGCUCAAAAAAGACUAGAGCGUCUCGCUAAAGGCGAGAAGGUUGGAGGUUCAAGUCCUUCCGCCUCUACCAAAAAAAACUUUGCGGAACAGAGGUUCCGCUCCUUCUUCCAGUUUCGAUGAGGCCGCAGCGAAAGUAUCCCUGGCGACUGUUUAUCAAAAACACAGCUCCCUGCGAAGACGUAAGUCUAUGUAUAGGGGGUGACGCCUGACCGAUGCGAGAAGGUUAACGGUGGGGGUGUUAUGUAGCAAUACGUUCUGCCCACUGCCCGAAGCCCUCGUCAAUGUCGGCGGUAACUAUAACCGUCCAAAGGUAGCGCAAUUCCUUUUCGGGUAAGUUCCGAAGCGCACGAAUGGCGUAACGACUGGGGAACUGUCUCAGCGAAGAGCUCGGUGAAAAUGCGAUCCCCGUGAAGACGCGGGGUACCUGCAGCAAGACGAAAAGACCCCGGAAGCUUUACUGUAGGUUGGUAUUGGCUUUAGGAUGCACUUGCGUAGCGUAGUGGGGAGACUUUGAAGCGUCGCUUUCGGGUGACGUGGAGUCGCCAAUGAAACACCCAUCUUUUGUAUUUUAACGUCUAACCCCAUGGGCAAAAACCAUGAGGGACAGUGCCUGCCGGGCAGUUUAAAUGGGGCGUUUUCCUCCUAAAAGGUAGCGGAGGAGUUUAUUAAGGUUGGCUUAGCGCGGAUGGAAAUCGCGCUUGACGUGUAAAGGCACAAGCCAGCUUAACUGCGAGACCUACAAGUCGAGCAGGUGCGAAAGCAGAACUUAGUGACCCGACGGCUCUCUAUAGAAAGGCCGAAGACAUCGGCUAAAAGUUACUCCGGGGAUAACAGGCUGGUUUCGUCCGAGCGUCCACAGCGACGACGAAGCUCGGCACCUCGAUGUCGGCUCGCCCUAGCGCGGGGGUGGAGAAGCUCCCAAGCGUGUGGCUGUUCGCCACUUAAAAGGGCACGCGAGCUGGGUUCAAACCGUCAAAAAAUGAACCCUUUUUGCCUAAAAAGGCAAAAGACAAUCGAACACGGCGGCCUAGAAAAGCAAUUUUCUAUGGAAAAAACUGACUCAUAUCGGUGAAGUCCUAACAAUUUAUUGAUUAACCUGUCAUAUGUUAGGAUAAUACCGAGGGAAGUCGUGUAUGGUUUUUUCGUCAAAUCAAAAGGCAUAUAUUGCUGGUUUUCUCGUUGGUGAUGGAAGUAUCUAUGUUCAAAUGAAACCAAAUUCAUCAUAUAAAUUUGGGUUUCAAAUUUCGCCUUACAUAGUAUUUUUU